UACGGAGGGUGCAAGCGUUGUUCGGAAUUAUUGGGCGUAAAGCGCGUGUAGGCGGCUAUUUAAGUCUGAUGUGAAAGCCCGGGGCUCAACCCCGGAAGUGCAUUGGAAACUGGAUAGCUUGAGUACGGGAGAGGGUAGUGGAAUUUCGAGUGUAGGGGUGAAAUCCGUAGAUAUUCGAAGGAACACCGGUGGCGAAGGCGGCUACCUGGACCGAUACUGACGCUGAGACGCGAAAGCGUGGGGAGCAAACAGGAUUAGAUACC
rnacentral:rRNA from 1 species